rnacentral:lncRNA from 10 species
UUACAGGCAUGAGCCAACAUGCCCAGCCUAACAGUCAGAUUUUAAGAAAAAUUAACAACAUUAAUACCAUACUGAAAUACUCUCUUUGCAUAUCUGACAUCAACCUAUGUGUUGCUAUAGAUUACCUAAGGAUGAUGCAACAGAAAAGUUGAAAGACUUUUACAGGGACCAUCCAUAUACCCACCACUUAGACUCUGCAUUUAAAAUUUUUACUGUAUUUGUUAUACUAUACUAUGACUAUACUGUAUGCUUUCUGUAUGAUUAAUCCAUUCACCAAUCCAUCUUAGGGUUUUUUUAAUGCAUUUCAAAGUAAGUCAAACACAUUAAUAUAGUUUCCCCCAACAGUCCAGCAUGCAUAGCAUUAACUAGAAUUUAACAUGUAUUAUUCCUUUUUUUCCUUUUGCAGUAAAUUCUACAUGCAAUGAAAUGUGCAAAUUAUAAGUCUACCAUUUCAUAAACUUGAACAAGUGCAUACAUGUAUGCAACCUAAACUCUUACAAA